rnacentral:lncRNA from 1 species
AAACAUUUAUUAAAAAUUAUAUUGUAACUAUUUGAAUAAAAUAAAAAUAUUUAAUAAAAUAUUCUAAUUUCUUGUAAAACAAUAUUUAUAGAGUCAUCAGUAAAUAAUUUUAAUAAUGUAAAAGCUAAAUAAAUUCAUACGUACUAUAAUACAAAUAACUGGGAUAUGAAAUUUACUUUACAGUGACUCGUGGGCCCACAAGGAACAAAAGUGCACAAAGGUAGUAAACCUACAGUUUUUGGAGUAGUAAAGCCGACUAUAAUCCUUGACGAUAUCUACUAUCCACAGGCUACCUCGGGCCUGAAAUGAUUGAAAAUGAGGGUGGUGAGAUUAUAAAAUCUCAGUGAGUAAAUAGGUACCAUCUAAACCAUCUAAAGUCGAGUAAAUGGAGACAGAUAAAACAGUUUAACAUACUAAAAUUCAUCACCUUUCAACUUGUUUCAACCAAAUAAAAUUAAUUCAUAUAAAUCGAGUAAUUAACAUGACUUAUGAAUUUCUUAAAAGCUUUGGCUCGUGUCAAAAUCAUUAUCAUACUCAGUCAUCAGGGAUACCUUGGCUGAGGGCUAUCCCAAACCGAGUCCUCCAAGGUUGUUAAAAAGUUAUGUACGCAUAAAUCAUGUAUUUAUUUUGAAAACAUAGCCGUUCCUUGGCGUUGGCGAAGUUCCCCUCACAUGGUGGUUGGGCGUGAAGUGAACUCUAAAGUUUGACCUCGGGAGUUAUCCUACAUGCCUCUCUAAUCGAGGUACAUAUAUAUGACCAGGUUUUGUGCCCCUCUAAUAGGUUGGUCCAUAGAACCAGCCCACUACAGCAAGCUAAACCCACCAUACAAUAAAAUUUGCAAUAGCAUGACAUGGCAAUUAUUUUAUUUUACACCCUCUCAAGGCAAAUUAACAGUUCAUACAUUUUCAACACAAAUACUAAUUCAGCCAUUCAUGCAAAUAUUAUCAUAAUCCAUUCAAUUCAAACCAUGAUUUAUAACACAGCAAUUAGUCUCCAAUUACUCCAUUUUCAAAACCAUCUUUCAAUUUCAAGACAAUAUAUAAAAUCAUUUCAUUUAAACACAUUCUGUUUAUAAAACCUAAAAAUUUACCAUUUAAACUCAUUUUCCAUAAAAUCACAAAAUCGGAUAAAAACCACUUUAGAUAAUUAAGACGAUAGUAAGGUUACUCACAGUACUGGGAGUUUGAUAUACUCCUAUUCCCGAUCUUCGGGCACAAUCUCUUUACCCUUGUUAGAGGGCUCACCACUUAUACAUCAUACGUGACACGAAUUUAAAUAAAUUGUGUCAAUUUAUCAUAAACUAUUUCAGGCUCUAUAAAUCUAUAUGAAUGCACGAAAUGUGAUGCAAAAUGUUUGAAUAGCCGUUUAAAUACGGUAUUCGACCUAAUUCGCACUAUUCUCGGUGUAAUUAGCUAAAAUCUCUAAUUUAACUCCAAAUCGAUUUCUUUCACUUUCUACACUCCAAUUAUACUUAAAAUACCUCAAUGAUUGUGAAUAUGAUUCAAUUUAUCAGUCCGAACCAUAAAUCGCACAUGUCUAUACAUUAGGUAAAAAUUUGGAUCUUCAUGCCAAAAUUUCCCAUUAAAUUUCUAGCCUCACCAAUCAUUAAAUACCACCAAAAUGUCAUGAAAUAUCAUCAAUUUCAGCCUCAAUAUCCUCCCUAGAAAAUUCAGCCUCUUGUGGGUUUGUGAAGAACAAAGUGAUUCCUUGCUAGAUUUUCAUACUUUCCAUUACCAAACAACCAAAAACACUUAAUUAGCUUGAAAUCUAGCAAAAUCAAUGCUCAAAACCUCUCCUCUCAAAUUCGGCCAGCAUGGGUUCAUCAUGCAAACUUGAGUUCUAAGCAUGGAAAAUGAAAAAGAAAGCAUGGGUAGUGUAAAUCACAAGAUAAAAUCACAAAAUUUUACCUUUAUUAGCUUAAUCCCUUGAAAUCCCACACUUUUUCUUCAAUUUUCCCACCUAGGGUUUGUGUUCUUUCCUUUCCUCUUCACUUCAUGCUUUGGCCGGCCAUAUGGGUGAGACUAAGAGAGUUUUAAAUAGAUUUUACAAGGAAAUUCUAGAAUAAUCCAAGCUUGACACAUGGCAUGUUUCCAUUGGUCCAUGUGUAAUACUUAUCCAUUAAGCAAUCUCUCUCCACCACAUAAAAUGUUUCAAUUAUCCACAAUGUAAAAUGUUAAUGGCUGAAAACCAUGGGCAUGACAAGUGUUAAGUGGUAUAAAAUUUCAAAAUUUUAACUUUGCCCUCGUAAACUUAUAAAAUUAUCGUUUUGCCCCUAAGACUACAAAAAUGUCAAAAUUUAAAUUUUUCACCUCUAAAACUCAAAUCAUACUCCAAUGAGUCAAAUGUGAUCAAAAUCUUUUCUAAAAAUUCUCAUUUUGUCCCUAGAACAUGAAAAUUCCAAAUUGACUCCAAUUCAGCCCUCGAACUCCAAAUCAUCAUUUAAAGUCAUUCUAGAGUUUUAAAAUUCUCAAUUUCAUAUUAAGAUUUCUAUUUAGACUAGUUCGAGGCUUAAUUCAACUUAAUAGUACUCUUUGGUAUAAUAUCAACUUUUGACGAUUUUUCGAGACUUUCCAAGUAUGCAAGCAUAUUGUCAAUCACCUGAAGGACAUGGCAAGUACUUUAUAAGGUCGGGCUUGACACAUAUGGAGUCAACAGUAGUAAAGAUGAAAAAUGAUGAAAAGUUCAAAAAUAUAAUUGAAUUUAUCUCACUACCUAAUAAAAGAAAUAGGUUUGAGGGGUGUGAAAUUAAGAAAAAAGGAAAGAAAGAAAAAGAAAAAGAAUGAAGCGUUGAACAAAAAAAAUUUUUUGAUGAAAAAAAAAAGGUAUUCUAGGUGAAGGAAAAUAAAAAUCUAAAUAGGUCUUAAAAUCACUAUCUACUUAAGGUGAUUUAAGCCAUUUUAAUAUCCCAUACCUUACCUUGACCCUAGCCAUACAUUACAAGCUUGAUAAAGUCCUAUUGAUCUUUAACUUAGUAUUAGUCUACAUUACUAGAUAGAGAUGAAAAGCAAACUUAUAAAAUUUUAUUACUAAUUUGAAUUUUGCAUGAAUAUAAACUUCUUUGGAUUGUACAAUUUCUAGGUAAAAAGAUUGCACAUACACACGAAAAUCCAUUUAACUAUAAGCUUGCAUUUGAAUUAAAACAUAAACUUGAAUAAUAUUUUUGUGUUGUUUAGAGUUGAGAAUUUCGAUUAACUUUUGAGGAUAUUAAAGGUGAUUGUUAAGUUGGUGUAAUUGAUUUCUUGUUAAGUUAUUUUCUUAUAAUGUUUUGCUCAAGGACUAGCAAAAUCUUCAGUUUGGAGGUGUAAUAACUCUAUUUUACAAACUUAUUUUGACACAUUUUGGGAGCUUAAGUAGCUAGAUUUUUGAGAUUUUAGGUUCAGAUUUUAGCAUUUUAGAUAUUUUUCUAGUUUAAGUUUAAUUACACAUUGAGUAGUUAAUUUAAAUUAUUUUAGUUUAAUUUUACGUUAUUUUAUUUUAAAUUACUUUAAGAGUAGUUAUUGCUGGUUUCUCUUAUUGCUUUUGCGGGAAAUUUGAUGAAAUGGCUCAUUUGAUGAAAAUCCAUGCAAGUAUGGUGAUGGCUUCAUAUAUGUUGUAGUAUUUUGCCCACAUCUCUCUCUACAGAACUCCAAAUGAGAUGAUUCUUAAACCACUAGAACUCUAAGAGGAAGGGAUACAACUUUCAUAUUUACCAACUCAGUUCUGAUUGGAUCAUGGUCAAAAUAUUUGCCUAAGUUGAAGCAUUGCAAUAGUAUGCAUAGACUAAACAUGAUGCAGUAUUUGGAGCAUAUUUGUCACUCCAAAAGUCCAAUAAAUGUGAUUUUUAAACCAUUGGAAAGUUAAGAGACAAGGAUAAAACUUUCAUAUUUACUACUUCUCCCAGUUAGAAUCAUAUUGAAGAGAAAAUCUCAUUGGAAGAUGCUCGACUGUUACAGUUUUGCACAAGGCAGCAUGUGGAGGAAGGCCGCAGCCAUAAGUUACUCAAGGCUGCAACACCGAGGAAGCCAAGGCUCAACACUGGUGAAAGGAAGGGCACCAUACAAAUUUUCAAGGAUAGAGCACCGCAGUGCCAAGAAUAAAGGUUGCGGCGCUAAUGCAACAAAAAGGGCAGCGCCAUGAUGCCAAGAAAUCAUGGUCGCGGUGCCAAACAAUUUUUCAAAAGUAGAAAUUUGAUGGGAUUUGGAAAUUACAUUAAUUGGAGCCUAUUUAAGGGACCUUUUUCAAAGGUUUUAGAGGGGAGGCAGCAAGCAAUUAUUCUAGAGAAAAUGAGCCAAGAACAAAGCAACAAAAUAAGACAAUUUGAGAGAUAAUUACGAUUGCAAAGUUUUUAUAAUUAGUUUCUGUCUCUAUUUUUGGUGUUUCUCUUAUUUUCUUUGACUUGGAUUCAUGGCUAAAUUUUUUUAGAUAUUGUUUUUAUUAGAUAUUAUGAGCUAAACUAUUUUUCUAGGAUUUUAGUGGAUUUUAACGUGUAAUUUGAAUAUUAGUUUCUCUUUUAUUUACUAUGAAUGGAUAUAGUUUUGCUUAUUCAAAUAUGCUCUUAAUGCUUUUGAAAGCCUGGCCAACAGUCAACUGAUUUGUGAAUCUAAUUGAGACUCAACAGAGAGAUUUUAGAUUGCACGAAGGUUUAAAUUGUGUAUGUUCAUGCCACUUAGGUGAUCUGAUUCUCGAUUCGGGUAAACAUAUGCCAAUUGCCCUACGUAACCAAAUUAGAACACAAGCUUAAUGAACCUUAUUUAAUAAUUCCUAUAGACAUAUAAUGGCCAAAUUAAGUUUGGUAUGUGUGCAAACAUCUCAAUGGAGACUUAUAUGUAGCUUUGGAUUCUAGGUUAGUAAAACCACCCAUGAAUGUAAAUAAUAGGAGAAGCUGGUAUUAGAUGAAGUGUUGAAUGAACCCAUAAUCCUAGGUCUUUAGUCUAUUAUCUUUCUUUAUUAUAUUUAAUUGCUACUAGUUAUUUUAGUAUUUAUUUUAAUUUUGUUAUUAAUUAGUUUUUUCUUCAAUUUUUGGUUACUGAAAUAAGAUUAAUUUGUUAUAAAAUUUUAAUACUUAGUGAAAAUUUAGAAACAAAUCUUUGUGUGAACAAUACUUUCCUUCUACUAUAUUACUUACUUGUGAUAGCAUGCACUUGCGUGAAAAUUUGAUAACACCUCCAAACUAAACUGAAGUCUAAAUCAUCUUAAUGAUUGAUGGAUUAAUUUCAAAGUUGUUAGCUUGAAUGGUAGGUCUUCGGAUGCUAGAGUGGAGACCUUGUAUUAGUGGGAUAGUAUAUUCCCUCAAAGAUUUAGUCUCUUCCCCUUUUUGAUCAGCCUUUGUUUUACGUUCAGUAUAAACUUGUUGAUUUUUCCUCCGAAGUCUUCGAAAAAAAUUUUUGACUUCUGGAUCAAAAGGAACAAUUUUCAAAUUUUCGUCUUUUCACAUAUAAUGACCAAAAAUACUUGAAAAUUAAAGAAAAUGUUUGAAGUAAGAUUAGGAAAUAUUGGUAUUAAUAUUAACAAGAAAGAAUUAAAAAUCAAUUCCCCAGUAACGAUGCUAAAAACUUAUUAAUUAAUUUUCUACCCACCCAAGUAUAUGUGUCGAAAAAAUAAUAUAAUGAUGAGUAGAGUAUCGAUCUCACAGAGAAUUGAAUUAAUUCUUAUUGUUAAUUACUAAAAUUAACACACUCUAAUUUUAUCCAAACAAUAAAAAUUAAAUUAAAAAGCAAAAUUAAAUUUAACAAACUAAAAAGCUUAAAUUAAUUUAAAAUUAAUCAACAAAAUUACUUUAUUAAACUCAAUUAACUACUAGACCUAAGAUUAUGAUAUCCCUCAAUACUUCAUUUGAUUAUUGUCUCUCUCUCUUAACUUACUUAAAUGGAUUAAUUUGCUAAUCGAGAGUCCUAAAUUAUUUACAAGUCUUCGUCGAGUUUCUCAUAAAAAUAUUUUUCUCAAUUAACUUAUUAUACGUCUAUGCAAAUUAAAUUGAAGAAAGAUUCAUUAAGUUUAUGCUCUAAUCUUGGCUACAUAUGGCUUAUAGGAGUAUGUCUACCUUAUAUGCAAAUCAAGCCCUAUAAUCAACUAAGUUUAUUCAAUCAUAUGCUAUUCUAUUCAAAGUCUACCUAAAUCUCCUUUGUCAGGGUUUAACUUAGGCUUUCAUAUCAAUCUAAUUGGUGAUUAGGCAAUUAAAAACAUUAAGAAUAGAAUAAAAUAAACAACUUAAAACCAUAAACAUAAGCAAAAGAGAGAAAAAUAAAUCAAACUACGUAUUGAGUUCAAUCAUAAUUGUAGAUAACUAAAUUAGUUUCCCAUAAUGUCACACAUCAUCAUCAAAUGAAGUUUUAACAUUAAAACCAAACCAAGAAAAUAAAAGAAUAACAAAAAGAUAAAGAACCCCAAGAAUUACAAUCUUGAUCUCCAAAUCUUCUUGAAUCCCUUGAUUUCUUCUCAACUUCAAUGAGACUUUUUUCAAUGAUUUCGUGGUUUAUUCUCAACUCUAAAUCUAGUGUUUCGUGCCUCUAAAAGGUUUCUUACAUAGGGUCCAAGUUCAUGCCAAGAAAGAAAUUUAAUCUGAAAAGGAUUCUACAUGAUUUCCUUUGAGCGUCGCAGCCCUCAUCAUCUAAAGCCACAGCUCUGAAUAUCCUAUAUUAUUGUCCACAUUUCUAAUGUAGUUUUUCAAAUUUGACAAAGAUUUAAACCACUUCCCGAUCAGAACUAGGCAAAUUGGAAAACGUGAAAGUUAUAGUGUUUUCUCUUAGCUUUCUAAUGAUCUAAUAAUCACCUUAUUUGGAGUUUUGUAGCAAAAGUUAUGGUUGAAAUAUUGAGACACAUGCAGUGAAGGUCUACACCCAACUUGACAACUUUUCUCUCUUUUAAUUUCAUACCUACGAUAUCAACAAAUUAAUCAAUAAUAACAUAUCUUAGGCACAUAAACACCAAUUUAGGCACAAAAUUCUCUAAGAUUAGAUUGACUCGUCUAAUUAACUAACUUAAAAUAAUUAAGUAAAACCUAAUUAAUUUCUAUACAUUACUACAAGACUAAGCUAACUUAAUAUCAAAAUUAAAUCCAAUUUAUAUCAUAGAGUUAUCAGAAAGAAAGAAAAGAAAAAGUUGAAGUGUUGAACACAAGAAAAAUUUGAUGAAAAAAGGGUAUAUUAGGCGAAGGAAAAUAAAGCUUUAAAUAAGUCCUAGAAUGGCUAUGUGCUUAGGGUGAUUUGAGCUACAUAUUAUUCCAUAUCCUACCUUAACCCUAGCCAUAUAUUACAAGCUCAUUAAAGUCCUUUUGAUUUUUAACUUAGUAUUAGUCUACAUUAGUGGAGAGAGGGAUGAAAACGAAACCUAUGGAACUUUAAUAAUAAUUUGAAUUUUGCAUGCAUAUAAACUUAUUCAAAUUAUAUAAUGUUCAAGGUGAAAAGAUUACACACACAUAGGGAAAUCCACUUAACAAUAAACUUGCAUUUGAAUUGAAAUGUGAGCUUGAAUAAUAUUUGUGUGUUGCUUAAAGUUGAGAAUAUGGAUUAACUUUCGAGGAUAUUAAAGGUAAUCAAUGAGUUGGUGUAAUUGAUUUCUAAUUAAGUGUUUUCUUCAUUUAGGUUGUUGCAUUUUAUUUUAUGUUUUGCUUGAGGACUAGCAAAAUCUUAAGUUUGGAGGUGUGAUAACUCUAUUAUAUAGAGUUAUUUUGACACAUUUUAGAGGCUUAAGUAGCUAGGUCUUUGAGAUUUUAGGUUCGAAUUCUAGUAUGUUAGGUGUUUUUCUUAAUUAAGUUUAAUUACAUGUUGAGUAGUUUAAUUUAAGUUAUUUUAGUUCAAUUUUACUUUAUUUUGCUUUAAAUUACUUUAAGAAUAGUUAUUGUUGAUUUCUCUUAUUGUUUUUGUAAGAAAUUUGAUGAGAAAGGUUAAUUUGAUGAAAAAUCACACAAGUAUGGUGAUGGCUCAAUUUAUACAUGUUGUCAUAUUUCAAGGUUAAAUUGAGCUACAGAAGUCAAAUUGAUGCACUUCUUAAUCUAUUGGAUAGAUUAGAGAUAGGGCUAUAACUUUUAUGUUUACCAUUUUACCCAUUUUGGAUUAGAUCAAUAUGAAAUCAUGUUGGAAUAGGCUAGGCUGUUAUAGUUCUGCACAAGGCAACACAUGGAAUAAAAGUUGCGACCUUGAGCUGCUCAAGGCUGCGGUGCCAAGGAGGCCAAGGUUGUGGCACUGAGGAUAGUGUGGUUGCAGCAAUGGUUGAAUGUACAUCCCCAUAGUGCCACUCAAGAGUAAAAGGCCGAAGCGUUACAAGUGAGGCCAUAGCCAAGAAAGGCAGUGUCGUAGAACCAAUAAAUUUUCCAAAAAUAAAAUGUUUUGCAAGAUUUAGGAAAUUAGGGUUUUUGGAGCUUAUUUAAAGGAUCCUUUUUUAAGGCUUUUAGGAAAGGACGACGAGCAACUAUUUUAGAGAAAAGGUGCCAAACCCUGUUCUAUAAAAUAAUUACGAUGCCAUUUACAUGCUCACUAAAAUGGUUGCAUAUUUAGGAAGUUUGAGAAAUCAUUAAAAGAUGAUAUUGCCCCUAAUAGUAUCAUUAAGUUGAUUAAGCCUCGAACUAGUUCAAAUAGGAAUUUUAAGGUGAAAUUAAGAGUUUCACAGUCCAGGGAUGACUCAAAAUGGUAAUUCGGAGUUCGAGGAUCAAUUUGGAGUCAAACCAAAAUUUUCACUAUCUAGGGGCAAAAUGGUCAUUUGCCACUUGGGGAUAAAAUGAGAAUUUUAAAAAAAAAUUAUUGGCCCCAUUUGACUUAUUGGAGUAUGAUUUGAGCAUUAGAGUAUGAUUUGAGGUUGAGAAGUGAAAAAUUGUAAUCCUGACAUUUUUCAGAGCAUAGGGGUAAAAUGGUAAUUUUACCACUACAGGGGCAAAAUUGUAAUUUUCCACCACCAAGACAUUUGUCCAGCACAUGGUCUUCCCUUAUCCUCAUUUUGACCUUUGACUAAUCAUGUGGUGGAGAUAAAAGGUUUAAAAAUGUUUAAAGUUUUAAAAAUGAACCAAUGAAAACAUGCCAUGUGUCAAGCUUAGGAUAUUUUAUUAUUUAACUUAAAAAUCAGCAUAAAUCAGCCCAUUAUCUCUCCAAAUAUUCAGCCAAGCAAGGAAGAGAGGGAAAGAAAGGAAGAACAAACUCUAGGUGAAGAAUUUCAAGAGAAAAAGUGUGGAAAAUCAAGGAAAACAAGUGAAAAAUGUAAGAUUUUUCAACUUAAGCUUGAAAUCUAUUUUCCUUAAGCAUUUCCCCUUAUUUUCCAUGGUUAAAUUACAUGUUUUCAUGAUGAAUUCAUGGCUGGUCAAAAUGGGAAUGGAGAGAAAAAGAUGUUAGAUUGAUUUGAUUCUAAGUUAUGUUAGUGUUUUUAGUUAGUUUAGCAUAUUUAGAAACAAAACAACAAGAAAAUAAUCCAUUUUCCCCAUGAACCUUCAAUGGCCGAACCCUAUGUGAAGUGUAGAAGUAAUGAAUUGAUUUUGCGAUCAAGUGAAUUGGUUGAAAAAUUGAUGAAAUGAUUAUUUAUGGUGAGAAAAUGGAAUGGGAAAAUUUUUAGUGAUAGUGCACCACAAUGGCUGAAAUUUUCAAGAAGAAUUAUGAGGGUUGUUAGGCUGAAUUUUAGAUUAUUGGAAUUGUAUUUAAUGAAUUGAAAUAUUAGAAAUGAAAUGAAGCAAUUUGGAGCGAAAUCGGACACAAUUGUCACUUAAUCGGGUAAUAGGCCGAAUUAGGUCAGCACCGCAUUUAAACGGUAGUCGUAUAAGUUGCAUAUCAUAUCAUGCAUAUACAUCGAGCCUGAAUUGAUUUUAUAAUGGUCAAGCAUUAAUGUGGAGAAUUAUGUAUUGUACAUUAUGGAUAGGUGGUGAGUAAAUUACACUGGUAAAAGUACAGAGAUUGUACUUGGAGACUGGGAUUAGGAGUACAUCGACUCCUAAAACUGUGAGAAAACUUAUUAUCGUCUUAAUUAUCUAAAGUAGUUUUAUACAAUUGUAUGAUUUUAUAGAAAUGAGUUUAAAUGGUAAAUUGCUAUGUUUUAGGAGAAAUUGUGAUUUUAUAAAAUGAUUUUAUAAAUUUUUUGAAAAAUUGAAUACUGGUUUUGAAAAUAGAGUAAUUGGAGACUGCCUGCUUGUAUUAUAAAUUGUGUUUUCAAAACCAUCCAGCCAUUCAUGCCCACAUUAUCAUAAGCCAUUCAAUUCAAAACAUAAUUUACAAUACAGCAAGUAGUCUCCAAUUACUCCAUUUUCAAAACCAUCAUUCAAUUUCAAGACAAUUUAUAAAAUCAUUUCAUUUAAUCACAUUUUGCUUAUAAAACAUAAAGAUUUACUAUUUAAACUCAUUUUUCCAUCAAAUCACAAAAAUGAAUAAAAACUACUUUAGAUAAUUAAGACGAUAAUAAGGUUACUCAUUGUAAUGGGAAUCGAAUUCGGGAUACUUUGAUUCUUGAUCCUUAGAUACUACCCCUUUCCUCUUGCCAGAAUGCUCACCACCUUGACAUAAUGCACAAUAAGCAAUUUGUUACAUUUGUGUUAAACCGUUGUAAAACCAAUUCAGGCUUUACUAAUGCAUGAAAUGGGAUGUGAAAUACUCGAGUAACUAUCUAAAUACGGUGUUCAAUAUAAAUUCAAUUAUGUACCUAAAUAAAAUGGUAUUGGCCUAAUUCGAUCUAUCACCCGAUUAAUUGGCCAAUACGUCCAAUUCAACUCCAAACAAUUUCAUUUCUCUCCCAAUACUCCAAAUCAUUAAACACAAUUUAAAUAACUUGAAAUGUGGCAAAAUCAUCCUCACAUUUUCUCUUGAAAAAUUCGGCCAUGGUGAGUGCACUAACAAUAUAAUUUUUCAUGCUUGAUUCUCACACCAUAAAUCAUUCAUUCCUAAUCAAAUCACUUGAAAUUCAAUCAAAUUCAUCAUCAAUAUUCCACAUGGAAUAUUCUGCCAAUGAAGGUGAUGUAAGAACAUGAAUUUUUCUUAUUUGCUUUUCAUACUACACAUCACCAAACAACUAAAAACACUAGAAUAACAUGUUUUCUAACUAAAUUCAUCAUCAAAUUCUCUCUCCUAAGGGUUGAUCAACACACUAUCCUUCAUGAUAUCUUGUGAUUCAACCAUGAAAAAUGCAAAAUAAUGCAUAGAAAAGGUAGAUCACAAGCUAGCAUUAAGAAAUUUUACCUUUAAUGGCUUGAUUCCUUGAAAAUCAACAAUUUCCCUUUGAAUUUUUCUCUCUAUGGUUUUUGUUCUUCCUUUUUUCUCUUUUUCUCUCUUUGGCAGACCAAG